CAGCUUGUAAAGUUGGUCAUUCUAUUGGUCAGCUUUUAAAGUUGACCUAUUCUAUUGGUCAGCUUGUAAAGUUGGUCAUUCUAUUGGUCAGCUUUUAAAGUUGACCUAUUCUAUUGGUCAGCUUGUAAAGUUGGUCAUUCUAUUGGUCAGCUUUUAAAGUUGACCUAUUCUAUUGGUCAGCUUGUAAAGUUGGUCAUUCUAUUGGUCAGCUUUUAAAGUUGACCUAUUCUAUUGGUCAGCNNNNNNNNNNNNNNNNNNNNNNNNNNNNNNNNNNNNNNNNNNNNNNNNNNUUUCAACUGACUUUUUUCUUUCAUAAUGUUACACUCUGUUUUAUUGAAUGUCAGUGCUAUCCAUGCAAUAGGUAAUAUAGUCUGUUGUCAUAUAAAGUAAUAAUAUUGGAAAUUGAAAUAAAAGACAUAAAGAUACUCAUGUUUGUAUUUUGGUGUUUUAUUCAACAAUGCACUUUUGAAUACAUUCACAUACAUAGAUACAUGUCAGAGUACAAACCAUUUAGUUUUGACCCGGCUAGGGUGAUCUUCUCCCUUGUCUAAUUAUUUAGAAAUUGUCAAAGCUUGAAGUUUUUCAAGUGCACCGGACCACGAGCAGCACUUGGUGGUUAGCUUCUCUUCACAGUUUAACACCGAGUUCGUUUCCAUGUCAGCCAAAGAUAGAUCGCCCGUUAUCUCGGUCUGCUGAGAAUCUGUAUGUUCCAGCUGCCUAAUCUUCAGAAUAGAGAGAGUGAGAGCAAGCUGGAAAUACGGAGAGCGAGAGAAAGAGAAAGGGAAGGAGGGCUAGCCCUAAACAGAUUCAGGGACAGGAGUAGAGAGAGUGAGAGCAAGCUGGAAAUAGGAGCGAGAGAAAGAGAAAGGGAGAAGGGGAGAGCAGAGCUAAGCCGUAGAGAGUGAGACAGGAGCCAGGGACAGGCAUAGAGAGAGUGAGAGCAAGCUGGAAAUACGGAGAGCGAGAGAAAGAGAAAGGGAGGGCAACAGAGCUCCUGUUGGAUAAAUGAGGGUAGCUCCGCCCAGUUCAUAGUCCCAGAACCAAAAUCCUCUCAGUCUGUCAGUGACAGGGCUCGGGUGAACUUCUCCCUUGUCUAAUUAUUUACAAAUUCUCAAAGCUUGACGUAUUUUCAACUGACUUUUUUCUUUCAUAAUGUUACACUCUGUCUUAUUGAAUGUCAGUGUUAUCCAUGCAAUAGGUAAUAUAGUCUGUUGUCAUAUAAAGUAAUAAUAUUGGAAAUUGAAAUAAAAGACAUAAAGAUACUCAUGUUUGUAUUUUGGUGUUUUAUUCAACAAUGCACUUUGGAAUACAUUCACAUACAGAGAUACAUGUCAGAGUACAAACCAUUUCGUUUUGACCCGGCUAGGGUGAUCUUCUCCCUUGUCUAAUUAUUUAAAAAUUGUCAAAGCUUGAAGUUUUUCAAGUGCACCGGACCCCGAGCAGCACUUGGUGGUUAGCUUCUCUUCACAGUUUAACACAGUGUUCGUUUCCAUGUCAGCCAAAGAUAGAUCGCCCGUUAUCUCGGUCUGCUGAGAAUCUGUAUGUUCCAGCUGCCUAAUCUUCAGAAUAGAGAGAGUGAGAGCAAGCUGGAAAUAGGGAGAACGAGAGAAAGAGAAAGGGAGGGAGGGAGCGAGGGCUAGACCUAAACAGAGCCAGGGACAGGGAUAGAGAGAGUGAGAGCAAGCUGGAAAUACGGAGAGCGAGAGAAAGAGAAAGGGAAGGAGGGAGGGCUAGCCCUAAACAGAGCCAGGGACAUGAAUAGAGAGACUGAGAGCAAGCUGGAAAUACGGAGAGCGAGAGAAAGAGAAAGGGAAGGAGGGAGGGCUAGCCCUAAACAGAGCCAGGGACAGGCAUAGAGAGAGUGAGAGCAAGCUGGAAAUACGGAGAGCGAGAGAAAGAGUAAGGGAAGGAGGGAGGGCUAGCCCUAAACAGAGCCAGGGACAGGGAUAGAG
rnacentral:lncRNA from 8 species